GGCCCUCUCUUCCGCUUCCCUUACCUUCUCCCUCUCCCUCUCCCUCGUCUGCCGCUGCCGCCACCACCACCGGCGACCUCCUCCAUGGCUGACACACCACCCCCUUCUCUCCCCCCUUACCUUCUCCUCAUCAGCGACCUCCUUCCCUCCCCCUCGCCCCAGAUCAAAGAAUAGGCCCGGAUGCGACGCGGGCUCAGAUCCAGCACGCCCACAACACUGCUUUUGCUAGAGGACGCCAUGGAAAAGGUGCUCUGGCCCUGGUACUGCAGCCAUGGAGAGGUGCCCUCCCAUCUUUAUGUGCGUGUUUGUUGGAUGGUGAGAAAAGAUAACUGGAUCAAGAGCUACUUCGAUGCCAUCCUCGACAUCGGCAAGUCAGCCGAUGGUGGCGUAUAGGACCAAGGAGAGGAGCAGCGGGCCAGGAGGUCUGACCCUCCCCUAUGCCCCCAUGGCCAUGGUGUGUACUGGGCAUUCUACUUUGUUAUUCCUCUUUAAUAAGCACAGUAUGGUAGUGAUGGUUAUUGGCCUAUGGAAAUGAGAUUAUUGAACUGUUAAGCCAACUGUUUCUUACACGGCUUUCCAUCAUUGCCAAGCAGAAGGAAUGCCCAGCAGACCUGGAAGAUGGUAUCCGCAGUUUGAUUAUUGCAGCCCCAAUGGUGCUUUGAACGCAGUCAAAUGUGCGACCUUUUUUACAAGAAGUAUGGGAAAGAUUUCGUUGCUGCUGCAGUUGACAUAUGCCCAAAUGUUUGUGUAUUUCAUUUAUUUUUCUGCAAAGCCAUUUGUUGUCACUACUGCAUGUAUUUUAUGGUCACUAUUGAAAUCAACGAUGUCCUUCUGAAGGUAAUUGAGAAGUUGUCAGUCAAUAAGCCGUGUAGGCAAUUUAAGUUGGAAGUUCUUAAGGAUAUAGCAAAGGAGCAUCAGAUAGAUUGGGAUAGGAGCGAGGCUGAGCAGGAACUUCUUAAACCUGCUGAAGAGCUGAUUUAUGUAAUACUAAAACUGCAAUGCCACAUACUUUUGUUUUACAUUGUGUAUAGUCUUUGAGCUAAUAGGCUUUAACUUCUGAGCAGCAAGUAUGGAAUUUGGCAAGUUAUUGUGUCUCUACAAGGCUUCUACUCGCAAUGGAGUUGUUUGCAGCAUUUUGAAAUCAAGUUUCUAUAUAUAAUACACACAUCGUGUUUGUGAUUGCUAGUUCGGUCAUCCUUUUGAACAAAAAAGGCACCGGAAGGGGUGGCUUGCUAGCACCGCCCAUGAACAUCUCAGGCAGAGAUAUCCGAUACAAUCUUACGUUUGUUUACAUUCUCCAUUUAAUGAUAUAUGCAUGUGUAACUAACCAUUUAUGUUUGUUUAUAAGAAUUUUACAUGAGUAUUCCUACACAUAGAUGAAUAUCCUCCUGAUGCUAAUCAAGGAUUCGAUAUUCCAUAAGCUUUGGUUAACUUGUGUGAGUUAAUUCUAGGAGAAGAUAAUUUGCAACAGAUCCAAUGUUUGUCUCACAUAUACUAGAAAACUUUCAAGGUAAAUAUAUGAUAUUUACUACCUUGAGAGUUUUAGAUAUUCUUCUUUUAUCUUCUCAUUACAAUAUUAUUAUGUGAUGCAGGAAGAUAAUGUGAUGAAGUCAUACACAGAAGUGUUGAUUGUUCCCUUGAUCCUUGACAGCGCAUCCUCACCUCACAGGACUCGCGGCUCAAGCCGUCGUUGUUGUGCUCCUGCAAUUGUCCACUAACAGUAUUUAUUUUGCUUAUUCAUUGCGCCACAAGUAUCUCUUGAGAAGUAUUCUUGUACUCCUGCAAUUAAAAUUUCUGGAUUUAGUGAUGGCACCGUCCAAAACAAAGAAUUAGUUGUCAGCAAUAUCCACAGUUUUAUUAUUAAUAGAUUUGGGUUUAUAGCAUGGAAAUAACACGUAUGGCAUUAUUGUUCUCUGUUUAUGGA